rnacentral:lncRNA from 1 species
AUUUAACUCUUUCUGUACUGCUCUUUCUCUCUUGAUUGUUCACAGAGGACCUCAUUCCAGUCUGCUCUUGGCCAUGCAAUGGACUAUGCUCUAUGAAUUGGCAGGUUUCACAUUUCUAUGAGAAGGAGGUUGAGGAGGAUCUGUCUCCGCUCUCCCCAAAUCCCAGCAACCCAGAAAUUGGCUCCCUAUGGACAGCAAGAACAGAGGCAGAUGCUGCAGCCAUCACUCCAGGGUCCAGAAAUGUGUUGUAAACUGCACAGCUUAAAGGUCUCAUCCGUAUUUUCAUCUAUGGCUUGCUUCUCCAUUUCAUUCACAAAGAUGUUGGGAGAGAUGUAAACACCCGAGUAGACUAUGCACACCACAGUCCCCCUGCUCUACCAAGCUACUUUUCUUCUGGCGAAUGGCUCAACCCCAGCUCUUAUUGCUCAUUGCCAUUUUUCUGUAAGUAUUCACAAACAAUACAAGUCAUUCAUUCUAGAUUUUCAUUAAAACAAAAAACAACACUUUAAAAUAAAAGCUUUCUACUCUCCCUAGUCUUCCAACAUCUUUCUCAUCUUCACGCUUUCUCAAAGAUUCCUGAUGGGGUAAAAUAAAACACGUGAAAGGGGUAAAGGAAUAAAAAUUGUGUGAGCAUCUUCUGUGGCCUCAGAGUCACACCAGG